rnacentral:rRNA from 1 species
UACGAAGGGGGCUAGCGUUGCUCGGAAUUACUGGGCGUAAAGGGCGCGUAGGCGGCACUGUUAGUCAGGCGUGAAAGUCCUGGGCUCAACCUGGGAACUGCGCUUGAUACGGCAGAGCUAGAGGAUGGAAGAGGGUCGCGGAAUUCCCAGUGUAGAGGUGAAAUUCGUAGAUAUUGGGAAGAACACCGGUGGCGAAGGCGGCGACCUGGUCCAUUACUGACGCUGAGGCGCGAUAGCGUGGGGAGCAAACAGG